rnacentral:rRNA from 1 species
AUGCUUAACACAUGCAAGUCGAACGGUAACAGAGAUAGCUUGCUAUCUGCUGACGAGCGGCGGACGGGUGAGUAAUGCUUGGGAAUAUGCCAUAUGGUGGGGGACAACAGUUGGAAACGACUGCUAAUACCGCAUAACGUCUACGGACCAAAGAGGGGGAUUCUUCGGAACCUCUUGCCAUUUGAUUAGCCCAAGUGAGAUUAGCUAGUUGGUGAGGUAAUGGCUCACCAAGGCAACGAUCUCUAGCUGGUUUGAGAGGAUGAUCAGCCACACUGGGACUGAGACACGGCCCAGACUCCUACGGGAGGCAGCAGUGGGGAAUAUUGCACAAUGGGCGAAAGCCUGAUGCAGCCAUGCCGCGUGUGUGAAGAAGGCCUUCGGGUUGUAAAGCACUUUCAGUUGUGAGGAAAGGGGUGUAGUUAAUAGCUGCAUCCUGUGACGUUAGCAACAGAAGAAGCACCGGCUAACUCCGUGCCAGCAGCCGCGGUAAUACGGAGGGUGCGAGCGUUAAUCGGAAUUACUGGGCGUAAAGCGUGCGUAGGCGGUUUGUUAAGCAAGAUGUGAAAGCCCAGGGCUCAACCUUGGAACUGCAUUUUGAACUGGCAAGCUAGAGUACUGUAGAGGGUGGUGGAAUUUCCAGUGUAGCGGUGAAAUGCGUAGAGAUCGGAAGGAACACCAGUGG